rnacentral:misc_RNA from 1 species
GAUGAAGAACGCAGCGAAAUGCGAUACUUGGUGUGAAUUGCAGAAUCCCGUGAACCAUCGAGUCUUUCAACGCAAGUUGCGCCCGAAGCCACUAGGCCGAGGGCACGCCUGCCUGGGCGUCACACGUCGUUGCCCCCCCAUCUACUCCUUCGGGAUUGCGGGGGGGCGGAUGAUGGCCUCCCGUGCGCCUAGCCGCGCGGUUGGCAUAAAUACCAAGUCCUCGGCGACGCACGCCACGACAAUCGGUGGUUGCGAAACCUCGGUUGCCCGUCGUGUGCGUUCGUCGCGCAUCGAGGGCUCGAAAAAAUGCUCGGCUUCGGCUCGGCUUUCAACGCGACCCCAGGUCAGGCGGGGUUACCCGCUGAAUUUAAGCAUAUCAAUAAGCGGAGGA